GCUAUCCCUCCCUAGCCCUGUGUAUCCUAUUAUAAAGCGAGAAAUCGGGGUCAGAUGCCUUGCUCACCAAGAUCUCUCUCUCACCACAAAGGCUGAGAGGUGAGGAAGACAGGGAGCCUGUGUCUGGAUUCCUGGCUUCUCUCUGCCCCCUGGUGGACUCCAGCAGCCUAGCGUCCCGGGGGAAAUGCUGGUACAGGGACUCCCUGGGGACUUGGGGACUAGCUGUGUGGCCUCUCCCAAGGAUAAUACCCCUCAGGGCUCCAGUCCCCAUCUGUUAAAUGGGGAUAAUAAUAGUACGAACAUCAUCAGGAUGUUGUGAGGAUUAAGUGCAAUCACCAGUAUGUAACACUCACUAAUGAGCCCCACACAGAAUGUGUCCAGUAGAGAUUAAUCAUCCCCACCCCUCCUCCCUUACCUCCAUCACCAAUCAGUCACUACACCCUGCUGAUUCUCAGUCCUCUAGCAUUCCCUUCACCCCCUAGACCCGUUAGGCCUCACCAUCUCUCUCCUGGGCUCCACCAACAGCUUCACCACUGCCCCACCGCACCCCACCCCUCCAGCCCUCCUGUGCCUCCUCUCAGUGACCCAGUCUGCCCCUGCCACGAGGCCAGACCUGCAAAGGCCCCACCUCAGACACCUGUCCAUGCCCCUCGACCCAGCCAUCCGGGACCCUGCCCACCCCUGCAGCCUCAGUCACCCUGUGCCUUUAUGUUCCCUGUAUUCUGACCACAUGAGCUCCUGGCAGCCCUUUGCCCGGGCCCAUGGGUCCUGCCUCCCAGGUGAGUCCAUUGAAAGGUUACUUCACCUGCCUUUGCUUUUCCCUUCCUCACCUCUGCUGUUGCCCAAACUGCUCUCUAGAGCUCAGUUUCCUUAUCUGCCAAAUUGGUCUGUUGUGAUGAUGAGAAGAGAUAAUACACCGACUACUUGGUCUGCAGUGGCCACUAAGGGAAGUCAGGUGCCUAUAGCUGGGAAGGAGGGUCUGUCUUCAGUAUCAUCAGUGGGGAGUCCCAUCCGCAGCUUCAAGGGGAGGCAUGGCGUGCAAUGAGAGCUCCGAGGCCCCACAGCAGCCUCAGACCCCAGCAGGGCAUGCUCUGAACAGAGAGUAUAGCCUUGGCCUCUGGGUACAGCACAGAGCUUGGUUGGCCCCUCAUUGUGAUCUCACCCUGCUGGCAUGCUGCAGGACCAGGUGGAGAACAGGCCCCAGGGAGCAGCCCUGACCCUGAUAUAAGAGGAAGACGCCUUCCAACCCUCUGUCAGGGCUGGGGCAGAAAGUAGCAGGGGGACUCAGCAGUCCUCCAGGCCACUUGGAGAGACUGAGGUUGGGAUUAGGAAAAAUAGGCUCCUUAGGGUUAUAUGAAGCAUGCAUCAAUUCAACAAGUAAUAUACUCACAACAUCCAAGAAACCAUGUAUAGACUGAUGUACUUUUAGAAGUCUCCCUGCUACCCAUUACCAGAUUCUGUAUCUGUAUUUCUUUAUCUACCUCAUUCAUCUGCUGUAAGAAAUCGAUUUUAUUAGUUUCCCAUGUACCUUUCAUUGAAUAAAUACAACCAAAUAUGAACACAUAUUUGUAUUCAUUCACACCCUCUUUUACUCAGAGGAGGGCAUACUAUGCUCUGCAUCUUAUCUUUUUCACUUAACAAUGUAUUUUGUAGCUUAAUCCACAGAGAGCUUUCUUAUUCUUUUAUCAGCAGUGUAGUAUUCCAUCAUAGUUAUACCAUAGGUUAUUUAGCCAGUGUCUUUCUUAUUAAUGGACACUUGGGUUGUUUUCAGGCUUUUGCUACCACAAGCAAUACUGUAAUGAAAACCUUACCUACACAGGGUGAUGAUUAUGCAAGAAGAUCAAGAGUAUGGCUCUACCAGUUGUUAAAAUAUGGAAAUAUUUUUAGUGUUUGGUAAAUGAUAUAAUUGCAACUGUAACAAUUGAUAAACUUAACUAAUGAUAUGAAUUCUGCUAUAAACUCUUUAUUCAAACUGGUUGUAGGAUAUCAGGACUUGUUGACUGGGCCUCCUGCCAUACAGGAGAAGCCAGCUGCCAUGUUAUGAGGACACCCAAGCAUAGCUAUGGAGAGGUCUGCAAGGUGAAGGAACUGAGGCCUCCUGGCAACAACUAUCACUAUCUUGCCAGAUGUGAGCAUGUUGUCUUGGAAGGGGACCCUCCAGGCCCAACUAAGCUUUCAGAUGACUGCAGCCCCAGCUGACGGCUUUCCUGCAGCCUCAUGAGAAACCCUGCCCUGGAACCACCCAGCUAAGCCAUUUCUGGAUCCUGACUCUCAGAAACUAUGCACUUCUGUCACUGCCGUCCCUUGGUCAAACACUGUCAGAAGCCAGAUGGUAAGGAAGUCCAAUUUCUGCAGUCUAUAAAGGCUGGCUUCCAGGAACACAAACCAGAGUGGAGAAGAAUGAAAAUGGAUCUGGAUGAGAAAACAGAAUAUCAGU